rnacentral:lncRNA from 13 species
CUGCAUACUUUUUAAAAGGGAGGCAGAUGGUGAACAGUAAGAAAGGGGAAGCCUGGGCUCUCAGCCCUGUGGAGAUGCAACACGGUUCCUGGAAUGUCUAUUUCUGGACUUCUGUUACAUAAGAGAAUAGUACAUUUUAUCUCGGUUAAGGAACUUGACUGCAGAGAGAACAUAUUGUUGACUACUGUCAGCCCUGCAGAAGUUUACACACAGAAGCCUUGCCUGGUGGUAGAGAGCAGAGCGACCCAGCACUGCCUUCCAGGGCCCCAGGCCCUUGGCCUCCUGAAGCUUCACUGAAAAAUCAACUCACAAAAGGCUGAUUAAGAGGAAAAAAGGUAUACAUAUUUAUCUAAUGUACAUACACAGGAGGCUUCGGAAUGAAGACCCAGCCCUGCUGGGGGUACAGAAGCUUACAUACCAUCGUGAGGUGACAAAAGAAUGGGGGUUUGGAUCCUGACAAAACAGGUGACGGGAGAGGAGAGGAACUCUGCUGAGGGACAAUAUGUGAUUACUAGGGAGAAUGAAGGGAGGGGAACAGACAUUAACCAGUAAUUAGUUCUCUUUAGAUGUCUUAUAAAGGAUUUGUUCAGGUGCAGCCACAUCUGGGUUUGCUUUCCUGCAAUAGAUAAUGAGGUAACAGGAAAGAGAAGAAAAACCAGUUGUUCUCCUUGGUGGGUCUGGACUUUAGGCAGAUAGAAGAACUUCAGAAAACAGCUUUCUCCUAUGCCUGGGGAGAAACUCUGGAGGCUGGGGCAGGUGGGAGGGACCUCGAUGCUGCUUUAGUUCAGCUCGUCAAAAUGCCGUAUCUGGAGUCCUGGUUUCUGAGCCCCAACAGCCUCUAACUGGAUCAGGAAAUGCAUUCAAUUCUGCAGCUAAGUACUAGGAAGUCUACUGGCCUGAAGAUCUAAGCUGCAUUCAUCAGCGCCAAUUACUCAGUAAAAAUCCACCUGAUAUUUUGUCCCAUUCUCUAUUGGCUCAUAAUGCUGGUGAAGAAUAGAAGUAUGAUAUUUUCAUGCCUUCCCCAAGACCUUAAAACGAUCAGAGGAAACAACAGGGAACUAGUGUUUGACCCUGAAUACCACCCAGCAAAAUGGUUGGGACCCUAAUGAUUGUUUUCACCAGGGAAAGAAAAUUGAAUGGCUCAGAGAAUCUUGGCUGUCCAACUUUUUCUGCUGAAGUCUUCUUGUGGUGCUUUUUCUUCAUGAACACCUGAUACGUUUCCCUGGUGAUACACAGCGUCACACUCCAAAACUGCUCUUUUUGUCUCUUGUCAGUUAAUCCUGACAGAAUUCCAUUUUCUCGUCCAUCAAGGUAAACCCUCAAUACACUUAGUUGCUUAGUCAUUGAAGACAAAAGCUACCUGGAUCCUUCUUCUAACAUUCAAGAAUCUGGUGACCAAGUGUGUAGCCUGAGGUCUUCCAUAUUCCCCCCAGGAAGGCUAUCAUCUCUCUUCUAAAGUCUAACUCAAGUUGGCAUUUCCUGAUAUGCCAGAGUUGCCAAGGUGGUAGAUUUCUUAACGCAGAGAAAAAAGAUAAAAGGUAGGGGAGAUAAUGGAAGUUAGCCAGUUUGUUCAUGAUGUUUUGUUUAGUGUAAAGCAACAAAUUAACCUAGUCUUCGAAUCAUGAUUUACAAACGAUAAAAUACAAAUCUAAGGCUGGAUGCAGUGACUCAUAUCUAUAAUCUCAGCACUUUGGAGGCCAAGGCAGGUGGAUGGAUCGAUCAUCUGUGGUCAGGAGUUUGAGACGAGCCUGGCCAACAUGGUGCAACCCAUCUCUACUAAAAACACAAAAAUUAGCAGGCAUGGUGGCAGGCGCCUGUAGUCCCAGCUACUUGGGAGGCUGAGAGGCAAGAGAAUCAAUCGCUUGAACCCAGGAGGCAGAGGUUGUGGAGGUUGCAGUGAGCCAAAAUCUUACCAUUGCACUCCAGCCUGGGCAACAAGAGUGAAACUGUCUCAAAAAAAAAAAAAAUCUAAGUGUACAUUUUGAUGAGUAUUGACAAAUUUAAUUGCAUGCAAAACAAGAUAUAGAAUAUGUCCAUCACCCUUUAUAAUCAAACACAACCCCCAUCCCCACACACAGAGGCCCCUGCAUUCUGAUUUGUUUUUUAAUUUUUCUGUCACAUCAAGCAUGUAUCAUUUGUUUGCUAGAAACAUUCCAAUUCUACUCUUUUUGUUAUUUGAAAAUACACAAUAAAGUAUUGUUGACUACAGCCA